rnacentral:rRNA from 1 species
GUGGGGAAUAUUGGGCAAUGGAGGCAACUCUGACCCAGCAACGCCGCGUGAAUGAAGAAGGCCUUCGGGUUGUAAAGUUCUUUAAUUGGGGACGAAGAAAGUGACGGUACCCAAAGAAUAAGCCACGGCUAACUACGUGCCAGCAGCCGCGGUAAUACGUAGGUGGCAAGCGUUGUCCGGAAUGACUGGGCGUAAAGGGAGCGUAGGCGGCGCAGUAAGUUAGGAGUGAAAUCCCGGGGCUUAACCCCGGAACUGCUUUUAAAACUGCUGUGCUUGAGUGAUGGAGAGGAAAGCGGAAUUCCUAGUGUAGCGGUGGAAUGCGUAGAUAUUAGGAGGAACACCAGAGGCGAAGGCGGCUUUCUGGACAUUAACUGACGCUGAGGCUCGAAAGCGUGGGGAGCAAACAGG